rnacentral:rRNA from 1 species
UACGAAGGGGGCUAGCGUUGCUCGGAAUCACUGGGCGUAAAGCGCACGUAGGCGGCUUUUUAAGUCAGGGGUGAAAUCCUGGAGCUCAACUCCAGAACUGCCUUUGAUACUGAGAGGCUCGAGUCCGGGAGGGGUGAGUGGAACUGCGAGUGUAGAGGUGAAAUUCGUAGAUAUUCGCAAGAACACCAGUGGCGAAGGCGGACUCACUGGCCCGGUACUGACGCUGAGGUGCGAAAGCGUGGGGAGCAAACAGG